AUGAACGCUGGCGGCGUGCCUAAUACAUGCAAGUCGAGCGAACAGACGAGGAGCUUGCUCCUCUGACGUUAGCGGCGGACGGGUGAGUAACACGUGGAUAACCUACCUAUAAGACUGGGAUAACUUCGGGAAACCGGAGCUAAUACCGGAUAAUAUAUUGAACCGCAUGGUUCAAUAGUGAAAGACGGUUUUGCUGUCACUUAUAGAUGGAUCCGCGCCGCAUUAGCUAGUUGGUAAGGUAACGGCUUACCAAGGCAACGAUGCGUAGCCGACCUGAGAGGGUGAUCGGCCACACUGGAACUGAGACACGGUCCAGACUCCUACGGGAGGCAGCAGUAGGGAAUCUUCCGCAAUGGGCGAAAGCCUGACGGAGCAACGCCGCGUGAGUGAUGAAGGUCUUCGGAUCGUAAAACUCUGUUAUUAGGGAAGAACAAAUGUGUAAGUAACUAAGCACGUCUUGACGUUACCUAAUCAGAAAGCCACGGCUAACUACGUG
rnacentral:rRNA from 1 species